UUCGGACUGUAGUCUGCAACCCGACUACACGAAGCUGGAAUCGCUAGUAAUCGCGAAUCAGAAUGUCGCGGUGAAUACGUUCCCGGGUCUUGUACACACCGCCCGUCACACCAUGGGAGUCGGGAAUGCCCGAAGUCAGUGACCCAACCUAUUGGAGGGAGCUGCCGAAGGCAGGUCUGAUAACUGGGGUGAAGUCGUAACAAGGUAAC
rnacentral:rRNA from 1 species